rnacentral:lncRNA from 1 species
AAUACUCCUUAAAACAUUGAAAGUAAAACUAGAUUCUUUACCAAAACCUCAAUGAUUUCUUCUUCACCGUUUUCCUUUCUUUCUCUUCUUCUCUCACUAAUCUACUAUCUCUCUCUCUUUCUCCCUCUAAACCCUUGAAAAAUUGAAGAAAUGGAAGUGUGGAGAGGAAGGGAAGGGGGGCAAUUUAUUGAAAUUUGGCACCGUUAGAUUCGUGACAAGUGAAAAAAUAUGGUGAAGAGAGAAGAGAAAAAGAUUCUUUGCAUAAAAAACGAGGGAGGAGGACCUCCUCCAUCGGUGAC